rnacentral:rRNA from 1 species
AUGAACGCUGGCGGCGUGCCUAAUACAUGCAAGUCGAGCGAACGGACGAGAAGCUUGCUUCUCUGAUGUUAGCGGCGGACGGGUGAGUAACACGUGGAUAACCUACCUAUAAGACUGGGAUAACUUCGGGAAACCGGAGCUAAUACCGGAUAAUAUUUUGAACCGCAUGGUUCAAAAGUGAAAGACGGUCUUGCUGUCACUUAUAGAUGGAUCCGCGCUGCAUUAGCUAGUCGGUAAGGUAACGGCUUACCAAGGCAACGAUGCAUAGCCGACCUGAGAGGGUGAUCGGCCACACUGGAACUGAGACACGGUCCAGACUCCUACGGGAGGCAGCAGUAGGGAAUCUUCCGCAAUGGGCGAAAGCCUGACGGAGCAACGCCGCGUGAGUGAUGAAGGUCUUCGGAUCGUAAAACUCUGUUAUUAGGGAAGAACAUGUGUGUAAGUAACUGUGCACAUCUUGACGGUACCUAAUCAGAAAGCCACGGCUAACUACGUG